CUCAAGGAGACUCAGAAGCAUGCACGGGGGUCAGAGGGGAAGGAGAAUAAUGGGAAGAUUUCGAGUCAUGACGUAUGAUCUCCCUUAUUAUUCCACCUGUGAAAUUGGCUCCCAUACUUCCUCCCUGACUUAUCUGUAGCACUGACUCCUCCAGGGGAGGUGCUGUCUUAUUCAUCUCUGAGUGCACACAAGCAUAUGCGUUUGGCCCCAAAAUAGGACCUGGCUCAGCCUGUGUGGCAGGCAAAAAGGGAGGCAGGAAGGCAGAGAGGUAAUUUACAGAGAAGUUUCAUCACUGCUCUAUUUUCACCCCACCCUCCUCCUCUGAUCCCCUAAACUCAGAUCCUCAGAUCCAUGAACUGAUCCUCCUUUUCAAAAAAUUGUGGUAGGCCAGGCAUAGUGGCUCACGCCUGUAAUCCCAGCACUUUGGGAGGCUGAGGUGGGCCGAUCACCUGAAGUCAGGAGUUCAAGACCGGCCUGGCCAACAUGGUGUAACCCCAUCUCUACUAAAAAUACAAAAAGUUAGCCGGGUGUGAUGGUGGGUGCCUGUAAUCCCAACUACUCAGGAGGCUGAGGCAGGAGAAUUGCUUGAACCCAGAAGGCAGAGGUAGGGGUUUCACCAUGUUGGCCAGGCUGGUCUCGAACUCCUGACAUCAGGUGAUCCACCCGCCUCGGCCUCCCAAAGUGCUGAGAUUACAGGCGUGAGCCACCACACCCAGCCCUUUCCUUCCUUUUCUUAUGCGUUCCCUCUCCCCUCCCACUUGUUAAGACCACUCUCCCUUUAGGAAUUCACAUUCCUGUUGAUAUCUCAUCAAAGAAGCACAUGAAUAGCUGACAUUAUGUAAUGCUUUCACAUUGGGAUUCCCAAGAUAUUACCCCACCCCAAUUCAGAAUAAGUUGUCAGAGCAUAAAAUUGGUAUUUUUACAUAUUCUUAAUGUACAGAUGU
rnacentral:lncRNA from 10 species